CUGUCUCAGUUCGGAUUGGAGGCUGAAACCCGCCUCCAUGAAGUUGGAUUCGCUAGUAAUCGCGCAUCAGCCAUGGCGCGGUGAAUACGUUCCCGGGCCUUGUACACACCGCCCGUCAAGCCAUGGGAGCCGGGGGUGCCUGAAGUUCGUGACCGCAAGGAGCGACCUAGGGCAAAACUGGUGACUGGGGCUAAGUCGUAACAAGGUAAC
rnacentral:rRNA from 1 species